UAUUGUGGAAGUGUUCAGUGUAUGCGUGUAUGUAGCCCACGUGUAUGACUUUGUUGUAAUGUUUGGUGAGCACUGUGGAGUGUUUGGCUUCCCCCGUCCAAUGCAACAUCUUGAAAGGGUAAAUUAUUCAUCGUAUUCCGUGACUGUGAGUCAGCGAUUCAUCAGCGUGUUGCCCCAGGCAUGGUGAUGUGGUGGUGUGGUAGCGGGGCGGAGCGGGGCGGGUGGCGGAGCCUAGUGGAGCGAGGGUGGAGGUGAUGGGCGAGAUGUGGAGUUUGCUUCAUUGUGCACUGGAGGGUUUUUUGUACUGGAGUUUGCAUCAAGUUAAGGAACACAGCAGUAGCAGAGGCUGGAUCAGCAGAGGAGCCGACACCGCACAGCUCGGCGCUCUUCCCCUGUGCCUGAGCAACACUGCGCUGACACGUCUGUCCGAUGCAGGGAGGAGACAGCAAGCGAGAGGCGAGGCUGGGCGGAGUUUGGACAUGUCAGGCAGUCAGUGUUCUUAACUAGAGUAAAUACAAUUGAGAAAAGUAAUAUACGUGGGGAAAAGGUUUUCAGUUCAGGUUUCCCAUGAGAUGAAAGUAAAAGGCAUGUAGAAAGGUUUGGGUAAGCAAUUACAGAUUCAAUUAUGGUAGAAUGUUUGUGGAAAAGGGAAAUUGCUACAUGUUGAGUGUCUUGUUGGGGCAAUGGAAGUAAGUGAAAGGAAGGAGAGGCUUUGCUGAGUCUAGCCAUGUCUGAGUAUUACUGUACGUGAUUAGGAUAGAGUUGUGAGAAUAAUUUUUUUUAUUUUUUAUUUCUACUCAUAUUUCAAUAGUUCUAGAAAUAAUACCUUCACAUAUAGCAUGUGACAUGGAGGGUGUAUUUCACCUGUUAAUUUUUAGAGUGAUUUUUAUAUUGUGUGCCCUUUACUUUCCGUUUUCUUUCACGGUUAAGGCUGUCUAUCGUUCUUUCUUAUGAUAGACUAUGGUAUCUCGCCUCGGGUCGAUUCACCUCGCAAACUUUGCACAUUUUCAUUCUUAUUUCUGUUAUAUUUGUGUACUUUAAUUCCUAAACUGGGUGUAUACCUUGAAGGGACACUGCUACUGUGUCAUGCGUAUAAUCACGUUGAAGAAAGUAGCCUAUCAUGUUUACGGAUUCAGGUUUUUUUUUCCUCUCAAAGUCCACCAGAUUGAAACAUUUAAUAUGUGAAAGGAGUGGUUGUAACCCCCUUAGAGGGCUGGGGAUCCACCUACCAUAGUUCCACAACGCAGGGUUACCAAGCAGCCCUUCGCAUGAGGCCCCAGAAUGCCAGAAGCAGCCCUUGUUAUGCGAGGAAAAAAUAUUGAGUGACUUGUGAUGUCAGAGUAAAAAAUGAAUAAGGGAGAGGAAAGGAAAUAUUUUGAUCAGCACGUAACAAAUGAAAUAUCUUAACACAGUACAGUUGAUAAUGAAACACUGGGUCACUGCAUGCGAAGCACCACAGAGAGCACCGUUUCUCACAUCUUGAUCAAGCACCAAAUAAACACAUGAAACACGAGAUGUGAAGACGAUAGUAAUUGCUAGAACGAUUCUAAGUAUUACUCAUGACCAUGAUGAGGUACAAAGCAACCAGCCACCCGCCUGCCUUCAUGGCUCCACUAUCUGAGAGUGCAACACCUCGGCACACGAGCCUCCUGCUGUCUCCCACUGUCUGCCUGCUGUGUGCCUGCGCUUCGCCUUACCUUCGGUGCGCUACACAUAUCUACGUACACAUAUCUACGUUCAUAAGGUCAAUAUCUUGCUUCAGAAAUUCAGGAUACUCACUCCUACAAAAUGGUGUCCCUCAGGUCCUCUGCGUCACUAACCACCGAGGCACUGAGGGAAGCAGCGCCACUCACGCAGUCAUCACUCUUAACCUUGGCACCAGACUGAGUGUUGUGUUGGGCCAACACUCAAGAGGAUGGCCUCGGCUCCGCGUGUGCUGUCGUUAACCUCAACAGCUCAAUGAGGGCUGUCUUGGGAGGCCAGACUGCUUGCGCCGUCAUUGGUCUUGUGGAGGGCGGUGACGCGGCUGGUGUCAGUACUGCAAGAAAUGUCAUUUAAAACCCUAUAACUUCCACUACAACCUCCUGUCAGUGAUGCAGAUAUCUUGUUAAUUUGUCACUGGAACCACAACAACACCAUUAAAAACCCCUAUAACUUCCACUACAACAUACUGAAAUAGUGUUUAUCCUGUCAGUAAUGCAGAGAUCUGUCACUAGAACCUUAAAAAACAUUCCUACCUCUCUCUCUCUCUCUCUCUCUCUCUCUCUCUCUCUCUCUCUCUCUCUCUCUCGCACACAUCCCCCUCUUCGUCUUUUAAUGUCCCUAAGUGUUUUUAUCUUUAAUUCUCUUCAUUUCUCUCUUUUUCUCAUCUAUUUUUAUCACCUACCCACUCGCCUCUCAC